UCUUCAUCAUUUAUCUGUUGAGGGAUGUAAGCUGAAGCCUCCAUUGCCUAUUUUACCAGGUCUUCCAUUUCUAAGGAGAUUAAAUAUAAAUCACUGCGAUCUUACAGAGUUACCCAAUAAUCUUGGCGAGUUGUCCUUCCUCACAGAUUUAAAAUUGGACGGAAACAAUUUUGAGAGUCUACCAACAAGCAUCAUUAACCUUUCUGCUUUAAAGCUACUUAGCAUAAGUUUUUGUAAUAGGCUUCAAUCCUUACCAAAGCUUCCAUGUAAUCUGCAAGAAGUUGAGGCAGAUGGUUGCAAAUUGCUGAAAGUGUUAUCUGGUUUGGAAACUCCGAGUGAUAGUAUAAUAUCUAUCACUGAUAGAUAUUACAACAUGACGCUUAACUUCAGCAAUUGCUUCAGUCUAGAUUGGGAUGCAGUUAGAACGAUUUUGAUUGAUUCUCUCUUGGAAUUUUCAAAGCGGAGUAUUGUCAGAGCUUAUUUAGUAUUCCCUGGGAGUGAAAUUCCAGAGUGGUUUGACAUUCAAAGUAAUGGAUCUCACAUAGAGUUACCACGUGGUUGGGUUAAUGGUACAUUUUUCGGUUUUGCCUUUUGUGCCAUUGUCGGAAUUCCCAAAAACCAUUGCUGUUCAUCGACUGUUGGGUAUUUGUUGCGUUGGAAAUUCCCAAUGUAUAGCCAGCCUCUUGAUAGUGCCCUAUUCACCACUGGACGUAUUAAGUCAGAUCACGUAUUCGUGUGGUGUAGUUUCGGUACAGCAGCUGAGGCUUCCUUUUAUGGAGAUACGGAGGCCAUCAUCAAUUUCUACAGUCCAAACGAUCUAAUAAUAAAGAAGUGUGGGGUCCGUCUGUUUUAUGCACACUCCCGAAAAGAUUAAAACUCUCGCUACAGGUAAUUAAAGAACAUAUAUACCUUAAUCUUUACGUCACAUAAUGAAGUAGUUCUAUCUCUAGACUAUUUUCAUGCUUUAUGACUAAUUUUUGAAUGAUUUUCUUCUGGUUUCAUAUUUCAUUUUAUACAUGUUCAUAUUAUUUACAUCUAAUUUAAGAUUUUCUUCUUCACCAACUUUGAAAAUUAUCAACUUAAACUAAGUUAGAAAUUAGAGUCUUUGGUAAAUUAGAUUUUUAAAUUGUUAUGAUAUGAAAAAUAACAAAAAAGGACCUAUUUUUAUCUAUUCAGUAUAAUUAUUAAAUUAUAUUUUAAAACUUUUUAAUAAAUUUUUUAAAACAAAUAAAAUAUUUUAAUAAAUUAAUAAUUUUUUUUAAAGAAAAUUUAAAAGGAGACUGCAGGUACCAAAAGGGAUAUUAUUUUAUUUAAUAUAAUAACGUUUUCAAUUAUUGAUUUAUUUAAUCAAUUAAUAUAAAUUUAUCUAGCGAUUUAUAUCGUUAUCUAAGGGUAUUUUUGACAUUAUACAUAUAUAAAAGGGAUACUUCCAAUUAAGGUAUAAACUUUUCAAAUUUUUAUAAUGAGAUGACAAAAGUUAUAAAUUGUUCAAUUAAGGGACAAUCAUUAGUUAAUUAGAGUUAGAUUUAACAUUUAAUAAAUGUAAACAUGUAAUUGAACAAUUUAGAUUAUUAUUUUUUACAAAAUAAAUAAUAAGAAAUCCAAAAAUUAUCAAAUUAAAAAAAUAAAAAUAAAAAUAAAUAAAAAUAAAAAUAAAAGCCUACUUUCUUUCAUUUUUUUUAAAUUUUCUUUUAGUCUAUAAAUUAAAAAAAAAAAUUCAACUUCCAUUAAAAAAAAAAAAAAUGUAGCUGAUGUCCUAAACCAAUAUCUGGAGCUUUUCAAUGACCUUUCGAUGGCUGAAGUCAUGUGGAGUUAAAAGCUGCAAAGCUCUAGGGUUCUUGAGCUUUCUCAGGUUUGACUAUCUGACAAACAUUAGUUUAGAACCCAGUAUCUUGUAUUCUUAAAUAAAUGUAGCUGAUUUCCUAAACCAAUGUUUCAUGGAACCGUAUGGACUAACUUUGGUACCAGCUGGGGCAGAGUGAAGAGACCCUCUGCUUCUGGGAGAUUUUCGAACCGCCUGCCAAUGAAGAUUCUCAAAGGUUUCAUAUCUUGACAGCCAUCUAUCUCAAAGGCCAACUAAAGAUGGAGGCAUUAAAAGAAGGCUAAAUGCAAGAAAAAAAAAAUGGCUAAGUAUCUUCAAGAUACUAAUGUAGAAAUGGCAUAAGAAGUCGUAAACUCAAAAAAUGGAGACGACAGAAGAUCUGGAUGAGUUUAUGAAGAAGAACAGGUUAGGCCUGAUGCCGAUCUAUUGAGCGAUGAAAUUUAAGACUAUGCCACUUUGGGAAGAUGUUCAUUGAUGAUUAUCUUUCGGAGAUCAUUAGCAGGUUGAUUUUGUAAAAGCAUUCCUCAAUUAUUUGGUGUUAUGCUGGCCAUUUAAUUUAUUUCUCUGAGGAGUCACUUUCAGAUGCAGAGCUUCAACUAGCCUGUAGAGAUGGAGGGUUACUUGGUAAGGGAAUUCUUGUUUGUUAAAAAUAACAGUUCGGAGAUACUGAAGUUAUUAUAGGAACAUAUAAAAGCAUUCUUCAGAAUUGCAUAAAUUAGAAUGUAUCAUUUUCCAGGCUCAGUUAGAGAGACCAUGAACCUGAUGAAGCUGUGAAGGCAGAGUUCCGUACAUGGUUCGUAUAAUACCAAACCUUUGCAGCAGGUUCAUAUUUUAAUUAGGGAUGGUAAUGUGGGUAAAUGAGUUGACCCUACGGUUUCCAACCCAUUUGGAAUGUCCUAGUGUUAACCCAUUCUAUUUGGGCUGGGUAUGGACCACGGGGUACCCCAAACCCAACCCAUUACCCAAACUUAAUUUAAAAAAUAUUAAUAAAAUAGAAAUUAG